rnacentral:rRNA from 1 species
AUUGAACGCUGGCGGCAGGCCUAACACAUGCAAGUCGAACGAGUGGCGGACGGGUGAGUAACGUCUGGGAAACUGCCCGAUGGAGGGGGAUAACUACUGGAAACGGUAGCUAAUCCCGCAUACCAUCGGAUGUGCCUAGAUGGGAUUAGCUAGUAGGUGGGGUAACGGCUCACCUAGGCGACGAUCCCUAGCUGGUCGGGAAGGAUGACUGUCCACACUGGAACGAGGACACGAUCAGGACUCCUCCGGGGGGCAGCGGUGGGGAAUAUGGCACAAGGGGCGCAGGCCUGAUGCGGCAAUGCGGCGGAGAUGAGGAGGGCCUGCGGGUGGUAAAGUACUUUCAGCGAGAAGGCGUUACUCACAGAGGAAGCACCGGCUAACUCCGUGCCAGCAGCCGCGGUAAUUC